rnacentral:lncRNA from 1 species
GAAAAAAUAAUCAAUGAAUUAAGGACAAGAAGGUUUCCAGUCAGGAGUAAAAUUAGCAUGUUCUCCAGUCACCAUUUGGUUCAUGACUCAAUGUCACUAUAAAAA